rnacentral:rRNA from 1 species
UACGGGGGGAGCAAGCGUUGUUCGGAUUUACUGGGCGUAAAGGGCGCGUAGGCGGCCACUGCAAGUCAGUUGUGAAAUCUCCGGGCUUAACCCGGAAAGGUCAACUGAUACUGCAGGGCUAGAGUGCAGAAGGGGCAACUGGAAUUCUCGGUGUAGCGGUGAAAUGCGUAGAUAUCGAGAGGAACACCGGCGGCGAAGGCGGUUUGCUGGGCCGACCCUGACGCUGAGGCGCGAAAGCCAGGGGAGCGAACGGG